GACGGACGCUGGCGGCGUGCUUAACACAUGCAAGUCGAACGGAAAGGCCCUGCUUUUGUGGGGUGCUCGAGUGGCGAACGGGUGAGUAACACGUGAGUAACCUGCCCUUGACUUUGGGAUAACUCCAGGAAACUGGGGCUAAUACCGGAUAGGAGCUCCUGCUGCAUGGUGGGGGUUGGAAAGUUUCGGCGGUUGGGGAUGGACUCGCGGCUUAUCAGCUUGUUGGUGGGGUAGUGGCUUACCAAGGCUUUGACGGGUAGCCGGCCUGAGAGGGUGACCGGCCACAUUGGGACUGAGGUACGGCCCAGACUCCUACGGGAGGCAGCAGUGGGGAAUAUUGCACAGUGGGCGGAAGCCUGAUGCAGCAACGCCGCGUGCGGGAUGACGGCCUUCGGGUUGUAAACCGCUUUCGCCUGUGACGAAGCGUGAGUGACGGUAAUGGGUAAAGAAGCACCGGCUAACUACGUG
rnacentral:rRNA from 1 species